CGCGUAGGCGGCCCAUCAAGUCGAGUGUGAAAGCCCCGGGCUCAACCUGGGAGGUGCGCUCGAGACUGGCGGGCUGGAGUUCGGGAGAGGAGCGUGGAAUUCCCAGUGUAGAGGUGAAAUUCGUAGAUAUUGGGAAGAACACCGGUGGCGAAGGCGGCGCUCUGGACCGAGACUGACGCUGAGGCGCGAAGGCGUGGGGAGCAAACA
rnacentral:rRNA from 1 species